rnacentral:tRNA from 1 species
GCGGGUGUAGUUCAAUGAUAGAACACUAGCCUUCCAAGCUAGACACGUGGGUUCGAUUCCCAGCACCCGCU